rnacentral:rRNA from 1 species
AGCGAACGUUAGCGGCGGGCUUAACACAUGCAAGUCGAACGCGAAAGGGAUUCGUCCCCGGUAGCGUGGCGUCCGGGUGAGUAACACGUAGGAAACCUUGCCUCGAGAGGGGGAUAACGUCCCGGAAGGGACGCUAAUACCGCAUAAGCCCACGUCGGCUCCGGCCGACGAGGGAAAAGGUGGCCACUGAAUUCAAGCUAUCACUUGAGGAUGGUCCUGCGGCGCAUCAGCUAGUUGGUGGGGUAACGGCCUGCCAAGGCGAAGACGCGUAGCUGGGCUGAGGGGAUGAUCAGCCACACUGGCAGUGAAACACGGGCCAGACUCCUACGGGAGGCAGCAGUGGGGAAUAUUGGACAAUGGGCGCAAGCCUGAUCCAGCCACGCCGCGUGAGUGAUGAAGGCCUUCGGGUUGUAAAGCUCUGUGGGGAGGGGCGAAAACGGCCGGUAAGAAACGACCGGUCCUUGACGGUACCUCCUUAGCAAGCACCGGCUAACUCUAUGCCAGCCGCCGCGGUAAUAC